AAAAUGCAUGUAUGAUGAAUCAAUUAGAUGUGUGAAAAGAGAAGUCCUUUGUGAACUCAACCAUUUUAGGCAUAUUUUUAUAUCUUAUUCCUAACUUUU
rfam:Lupinus angustifolius cultivar Tanjil chromosome LG02, whole genome shotgun sequence.